ACUUGCAAUGGAACACGAGCUUCCUACCAGAAAUAAACCUCAAUAUGAAAUCGUGUAGUAAAAAUAUUGCAAGGUAAGUGACUUAUAAAAAGAACACGAGUGGCUUCAGCAAAUUCUAUAUCUAAAUGCAUAACUGUUAAUGAGAACAUGAGUAGUUGCUAAUGAAUAGAAUGAGAGCAUGAGUAGUAGCCAAAGCAACAUAAAAAAUUGCACGUCUGUAUCUGACAUAAAGAAGCACAAAAUUGCCCUCACUAUUCAGUCAAAAUCUAGCCACCGUAAAAACAAUGUAACUUGAUAACAAAGGCAUAUGCCAUAAAUAAAAGCAUUCAGGGAGUCAUUGAAAACGAGUGAACUGCCAGAGCUCCACAGUGGAUGGUUAUUGUCACCAACAAGGAAACAGGUUCCAUUAGUGUGAUUCUUUUAAGAUAUAAGACAACAAAAGAGACUGACAAAUGGUCGUGAAGGCAAAAGGAAACAGUUCAAAGGAAAAUUUUCCCAUGCAUAAAGCCAAAUCUCAAGUUCUAAACAUUUUUUUAGGCUAAUUACUUUCAGAGAGGAAAGAAGGAAAUACUUACUUUUUUUUUUCUUUUAAAAUUACACCUCUUACUACUUUUUAGAAAGUUUGAAGGGACUACAACAGGAGGGCAGUUGGGGAUAAGGAAAGAUCUCCUUUACUCUUACUGAUAUUUUAGGACUCUCAAACUUUGAUGAGAAAUAUCGUUGCUUGAGAAUUUUAUGCUAUAGACUUAGUUGCAGCCCCAUGAAGCCCUUUACUGUUUUUUUUACUCAUCCAGGAAAAAUAGGGGAGAGGCUAAAAAAAUAAAAAUAAUGGGAAAAGCCCAAUCUUAAAUAGACACCACAAAGAGAAUGUAUUAUAUGGUACAAUAUAUAAGCUAAUUUACCAAUUAAUCAUAGCAUAAAUAUCAUGUGAAUUAUCCAAAUACCUGGCAUUGCACUUGCCAUUACUUUAAAUAGUUGUAUUUCUUAGACAAACAGAUUAGGCAUUUUAUUGAGACAAUGAUAAAAAUCAAUUUAUGAAAAUGACUAAUUAAUGUCGCCUGCCAUCACUACAUGAACAACAGGAAAGAGUAUGAUCAUUUGAAGCUCAUAAACCAAGAAAGACUAAUGCACGAUCCAAAAUGUAAGACAUUAAACUAAGUAAACUUACAUUUAUCAACUGUAAAGUGGGAUGAAGUACAAAUAAUUUUGAUGGCAUAACAGCAGGGGAUGGUGCAAGAAUGAUCUUCAUGGAUGUCAGAGAGAGAGAGAGAGAGA
rnacentral:misc_RNA from 1 species